GGCCGCAUCAUGUUGAAACAUCGAUUCCUAUACGAUCAACGACGUUAAGAAACGUCGAGCCUGGUUAGUACCUACAUGGGUAACCGCUUCGGAAUACCCGGUGCUGUAA